ensembl:lncRNA
AAUCAUCAGCGUCUUGGCCCUGUUGUGCAGCACUGAUUGCAGUUGUAGUUUUAACAGCAGUAAUAAUAACAUUUGUGGCUGGGUUCAUUGUCAUGAAGAAAUACAAGAUCAAUUCCAUCCUUUAGCAAUACUGAACACUCACAGACAACCUUUUUUUUUAUUAUUAUUAUUGUUUUAUCAUAACAAUUUUGGUUUGUAAUUUAUUUUACGUAUGUACUAUUUAACAUCAUAUGCUUUUCCCUCUUAUUUAUGACUUUAAUUUGAAUUGCAGAAAUGCUGUUCAUGCAACUCUGCGUACUGUACGUAUAUGUGACUCUCAAACAGUUUUCAGCUUCCAGGUUUAAAUGUUCUCAGCAUGCUUUCUUACUAUCAAAACUGUUUUAGCUGUUUCCCUGCAGUUUUUCCGUUUGGUAGAUUUGAUAAAGUUCUUGUUUUAUGUCAAAAGAAUGUUCUUGUGUUAAAAAAAUGAGAGCUUCUGUUCAUUUGGCCAAUCUUUAUAGAUGUGAGUUGUUAAAAUGACUACUACUGUAUGUAUCAUAAAGAUAUAAGCUGUUUUGUUUACAAAAAUGAAUAUAAGUGCUAUUCAUUUUCUCUCUACCUCAUUUGUUCUUAUUAAUCUGCUUCUGGAGCAUUUUGAAGCACUGAUGUUUAAGUUUGUUCAGAGAAUAAAAGAGUCCAAACGGAUUUUGAGGGUGGAGUGUGAUGUGAGGGUUUUACUGUAUGCAAGAACUGUUUGUUUGAACAGAAAAUAGUGGCUUUUACGACACAGGAAAGGGAAAAAGGAAACAGCUCAAACACGGUGACGCCUAAAGUCCUUGAACUCGGUGUACUGAGCACGCGAGUUCACAGAAUACAGCAGUCCUGCAGAGACACAAACAUGUUUACUGUGGGAGCUUCGCUCUAGUGCUUUUAUGCGACAGGAGUUUCUGGAUACAGUCGUCUCUUCGGGAAGUUAUGAGAGCUGACAUGGAGCUAAGACUACAGCGAUUCAUCAGGACCGUCCUGCUUCUGCACAUCUGCUGGCUCUGGAGCGGCCAGUGUUUGUCCGUCCACUUCACAAACCAGCAGUUGCUGUAUGUAAUCAGAGGCCAGACUCUGAUCCUACAUGCACAAAUCGAGCUGCUGGAUGGUGAACAUGUUAAUAAAGUGACGUGGGACCACGUUGCAAAGACUUCUGGGAUGAGUUCAACAUUGGCUGAGUUUCCUCCUAAAGCAUCAGAUGGGAGAGUCACACUGGAACAGCAGGGAGCCACACUGAAGGUCCCAGAUUUUCAGGCAGCAGACGCCGGGGUCUACACGGUCACAGUUACAGACCAGUCAGGACAGAGACAAUCUGCACAGCAAACCGUUCAAGAGUAUCUGGCGGUGCAUCACGUGUCGGUGAUGGUGAAUGUGUCUCACUGGGUUCUUCACUGUAUGGAGGCCUGGGGAACUGAGCCCAUCUUCACUUGGCUGCAUGAGAAAGUGAUUGUAACGGAGAAAGUGGGUCAUGUUUCGGCAGAUGGGACGUCUCUGCACGUCUCCGGCGGCAGCUUCUGCGGACACUUCACCUGUGUGGUGAGCAACAAACUGGGACACAGCUCAGCCACAUACACCGCAGAGGCGUGUGAAAGCACAAACCGGAGCAUGACUGCUGUCGUUGUGUUUCUGCUGCUGAUACUGAUGCUCGCAGCUGCAUCGCUGGCCUUUAUACUGUGGAGGAGACACAGGCGUGGAUAUAACAGAAGAGAGAGACUGAGAGAGCCAUGUGAAGAGACUCUGUGAGCUGAUCUCAGGACAGUUUUACUGCGUUACUGUGACACUGACGAGAGCUGAUGGACUGCCAGUCGCUUGACGCUUUCAGCACGCCUUUUUAUACUUCAUUGAUCAAUGUAUUAUAGAUUUUUGGUUCCUUCCUGGAAAGAUAUUUAUGCAUAUUUAUUUAACCAAGUCAGACUAACAUCAUCAGGAGGUGUAGUUAAUGCAAUCCUUUCUGAAAUACUUGAUUCUGAUUGGUCAGUUAUGACAUUCUGUCAUUAAUAUGAUGACCACUACACUAUUAAUUGACAACUGUCUCAUAUCAAUAAAUUAACAUUUUACUAAUUGAGUAAUUUUUUU